GAGUCAGCACUCUUAUACUAAAUAAGCAUAACACAGUUUGUUUAUGUUUUGUCUACUGUUUAUUUAAAAGGCAUAACCUGAAAAACUAUCCGUGGAUUAUUGAUCCUAAGAGAAGUCUAUUGCACAGUAGCACUGUCAAUUUCCAUAUACAAUUCAAAUCAGUGCCCUGGUUUUGUUUUGGUAAAUAUAUUAUCAAAAACAAGCUUUAACAACUAUAUAAAUGUAUAAAUAACUGAAAUAUAAACAGUUGCCUUUGGUUUACAAAUGUUCUUCAAGUUGCCCUGAUCCCAUGCCAAAAUCUCUGUAGCAGGUGUCCUAUGUUGCUUGUGGAACUGCAAUCAAAAAGAAAUAUGUAACAUGUAUUUUACCUCUUCCUACCAUCAAAAUCCAUGCAACAAUGCUCACUCAUUGUAGUAGCCAUCAUGGAAAAAAAAGCUGGAGAAAUUCCGAUUUGCUCGAUAAAAGCCACUACGGACCCUGGGCCAAUAUUUAUAAUCCCUUUGGAUGAUGGAACAACCUAUAUGCUGCACUUGAGAAUAAGGAGCAAAAAACCCAGGCCAAUUUAGCCACACCUGGAGCCCGUACUCCUGCCUUAGACGAGCUUCUUUAUUUCCCAACUGCGUUCAGCAGAGCAACACUUACUUCCUGGUAACUUCCUUUGAUCCAGCCCAUUCAUUGUAUGGAAUGACAUCAGUAUGUGGAGUGAAAAUUCAGGUAUCACAGUUAACUUAGAAAAAUAACAAAUUUAGUGACAUAAAUUUUAGUAAAAGUAAAAGCAGUGGUUAUAUUUCUAUGGGAAAAGCUAAUAGUACAGAAUUAUUGUAACAGUUAAAGAUAAGAACAGAUACAAAAAUAACAUGGAGAAGUACAUUUAUCCUUUAUUAUAGCCUUACAUAUUUGUGAAGACCCCCAAAUUUUGGGUUCCUUCCCAAUGAAAAUCCUUAGUGAUAAUUGUUUUGGUUUUAUUUGUAUAGUGCUUUGCUUUUCCUAAAAUACAGUGUUGACUUAUAUUUAAUGUAUUUAAUACAAGGAAUAACUGUUGGAGAUUUUCUGAAGAUGGAGCACUAGUAGCUGAGUUAAACCAUUAAUUGCACAAUAAGCUUAGGAAAACCAUUGUUCAAAUUUAAUGGAACUUAAGAGAUAGCACAGAAGGGCUAUUGUUUCUGAAUUCCCUGGCUGGAAGCUAAUGAGAAACAUGAAUAUCCUGAAGCCAAUCAAUCAAGCCAAUAGAUUAGAGUCUGGCAGCAUUCCCAUCUAAUGGAUAUAGCAGUCAGAGAAACCAUUCUGAGGGUCAUCUGAAAAAGAGAAUGUCCAAUAUGUUCCAAAACCCUUUUCCUUAGAGGCAGAAUUCAGGAAAGGUACCCUGCCUUCAAAGAGAUGAAGGAACUGCAAGUCAAGAGGCCCAAAGAUACUAUAUUUAAAGAAAUCAGUAGCAUUUAACAAAAUCCUGAUUCCCAUACUUUUGUGGGGGAUGGAGGUUGCCUCACCCACCAGAGGUACUGAUGGUCUCACAAAAUGCUUUUCAGUUCACUGAAAAACAAUAUACCAGAUGAACAAUUAUGUGGAGGUUGUCAUCCUAACAUGUUGGUGUUCUCUGUGCAUGUAAUUUUUACUGAAUGAAUUCUUUAAAUAUUCACAUACAUUCUCCCUGCAGGCUAAACUAGAACAAUCAAGGAGCUUAAGUGGAUCAAAACCUCAUAAUCUAAUUUUGUAUUCCUAAUGCCACAUAAUGUUGAGUCUAACCACAUAUGAAUGCCCUUUUUUAACAAAAGUUCAGUAGUUUCAUCCUUGAGGUGAAGAAUUAUAGGAUGGGCCUUUUUACCUGGCAUGGCAAAUGUGUCUGUCUGCGGAGCUAUGCUCUCUGCUUCCUUUUUCUGGACUGCAAUUGGCUCCAAAGGAAGGCAGUACUUUUCUGGACCUUCCUGUACUUGCUGGAAUGCUAGUGGAGCUUCUUGGCUGCUUGACAAACUCUCAUCUAUUCUUACAGGAUAAGGUGGUUCCACCUCUUGGCAGAUGGGCUCCUCAGUGUAUUUCAUGGGUUCCUUCUCAACAAGCCUUGCAAACUCCUUCUUUUUCAGCUGAGCUUCCAGUUGCAGUUUCUGCAAAAUCAAGUUGCACAAGCAGCAGAUGCAGGUGGAGAUUUUGUUUUUUUGUUUUUAACUCUGUAUGUUGCAACCAUGAAGCCCUGUGGAAUAAGGAAUACCUAUAAAACUGAAGUGCGGUGUUUGUAACAAUCUGAAAGGGCUGCCUUCCCUAAUCUGCCACCUUUCAGACAAUGCCAUCUCAGAUGUAUACUGUUGUACUGCUGUUUUUAUAAGGAAGUUAGAAUCCAUUUUAUUUCCCCUUAUCUACUCAAUUUAAGUCAGUCAUCCUGAUACCUUCUAUAUACAAACUCUUGUCUCAGAUCGAAUGGAUUCUACCUCCCUGGACAUUGAAAUUCUGUUUACGCUGCGAGCAAGGUAAGAUCCAAGUUGACUAAUCCCCAUUUUCCUUAACAUAACAUUACUAUGGCUAACCCUUGAAUAACACUGAAUUAGUAUGUGUAUGUGUGUAUGCGUGCGUGUGUGUGUGUAUAAUUUUUUUGUCUACUUCUGUCCUAGAAUCUUACUUUUAGGUCACUAAUGUAAAGUAUUUAAGACAAAAACACAGACGGAGUUUAUACUGGUAACGACAGUGGUAAUAAUAUUCUGUUCUAUUCUUUUAACUUGUGUUUUAUGCCUGGUCUUCCUCUUUUACUUUUAAACAGCUUGUUGAUUGUUUUGUUCUUUGGUUUUUGAUAGAAAUCAACUUUGAACUUAA